CGCGUUUCGACUAUCAAGAGUUUUUAUCAAAGUGCAUAAGGCAUUAGUCUCCGUGUCCUGUAUAUAUACCAAUUUGGUAUUCAAAUUUGGCGCCAAAUUCUUCAUUUUAGUUGCGUACAUCUGCUUCCUGGUUCCGCCGGACGACUUCCUCAUUCCCGCCUUCUUUUACAUCAGAUUGCGUCUGACGUCAGACAUUUUUCUCCGAACCCGGAAGUGAUGCAUAUUACAUUCCUG